UCAUCACCUUCCCCUCUCUCUCUCUCUCUCAAAAUCCCUAGAAGCCAAGGAAACCAAAAAUUUCCACUCUGGUUUUUGCUCCAAUUCAGCCCAGGUUUUGAUUCAAGGAUUAGGACAAUUGGAAUUUGAUUAAGGGGAUGAUAGAGGUUGGACUUUGCUUCAUGUUGGGGCGCGUAAAGGGGAUAUUAAUCAGGUGGAACUUCAGUAUUAUAUUGAGUUGGGAGCGUUGUUAGAAGAUGUUAUAGCUUUAUUGUCUAAAUUUCCGGGGGCAGUUUUGUCCCAUGGGGCUCGCUCUUAGAUUUUAGCGGCCUAUGGUUGGCAAAGCAUGCUCUGCGGUUAGACGAUGAGCUAUCCUGGUUCGAGGAGGUUCCAGCGCCGGUGGCGGACGUGGGCGUCGUAAAUUCAUGAGUGAUUUUAAUCACUUUGUCAAAAAAAAAAAAAAAAAAAAAAAAAUG